rnacentral:rRNA from 1 species
AGAGUUUGAUCCUGGCUCAGGAUCAACGCUGGCGGCGUGCCUAAUGCAUGCAAGUCGAGCGCGGGCCCUUUCGGGGGUGCUGCGNNNNGGACGGGUGCGUAACACGUGGGCAACCUGCCCUGGGGUGGGGGAUAGCCGUGGGAAACCGCGGGUAAUUCCGCAUACGAGCAGCACUCGUGGGGGUGCUGCUGAAAGACACUUCGGUGUCGCCCGAGGAGGGGCCUGCGGCCGAUUAGCUAGUUGGGGGGGUAACGGCUUCCCAAGGCAGUGAUCGGUAGCUGGUCUGAGAGGCGGCCAGCCACACGGGGACUGAGACACGGCCCCGACUCCUACGGGAGGCAGCAGAAGGAAUCUUCCGCAAUGGGGCAACCCUGACGGAGCAACGCCGCGUGGGGGAUGACGCGCUUCGGCGUGUAAACCCCUUUUCUGCGGGAAGAAGGCGCUUUGGCGCUUGACGGUACCGCAGGAAGAAGGACCGGCUAACUACGUGCCAGCAGCCGCGGUAAUACGUAGGGUCCGAGCGUUGUCCGGAGUUACUGGGCGUAAAGCGCGCGCAGGCGGCGGUGCUGCCCGGCGUGAAAGCCCCCGGCUCAACCGGGGAGGGUCGUCGGGGACCGCACCGCUUGAGGGCGGUAGGGGCUGGUGGAAUGCCUGGUGUAGUGGUGAAAUGCGUAGAGAUCAGGCGGAACACCCGUGGCGAAGGCGGCCAGCUGGGCCUCCCUGACGCUGAGGCGCGAAGGCGUGGGGAGCGAACGGGAUUAGAUACCCUAGUAGUCC